AGAGUUUGAUCCUGGCUCAGGACGAACGCUGGCGGCGUGCCUAACACAUGCAAGUCGAACGGGGAUAGAUUGAAGGUUUACCUGAUAUCUAUUCUAGUGGCGGACGGGUGAGUAACGCGUGAGCAAUCUGCCUUGUACUGGGGGAUAACGUCGAGAAAUCGGCGCUAAUACCGCAUAAUACUAUUAGAUCGCAUGGUCAUAUAGUCAAAACUCCGGUGGUACAAGAUGAGCUCGCGUCCAAUUAGCUAGUUGGUGAGGUAAUGGCCCACCAAGGCGACGAUUGGUAGCCGAACUGAGAGGUUGAUCGGCCACAUUGGGACUGAGACACGGCCCAGACUCCUACGGGAGGCAGCAGUGGGGAAUAUUGGACAAUGGAUGGAAAUCUGAUCCAGCCAUGCCGCGUGCAGGAAGACGGCCUUAUGGGUUGUAAACUGCUUUUAUACGGGAGCAAUAAGGGUUACGAGUAAUCCGAUGAGAGUACUGUAUGAAUAAGGAUCGGCUAACUCCGUGCCAGCAGCCGCGGUAAUACGGAGGAUCCGAGCGUUAUCCGGAAUUAUUGGGUUUAAAGGGUGCGUAGGCGGCCAUUUAAGUCAGCGGUGAAAUUUUGCAGCUUAACUGUAACAGUGCCGUUGAUACUGUUUGGCUAGGAUUUGGUUGUAGUGUGCGGAAUGUGUGGUGUAGCGGUGAAAUGCUUAGAUAUCACACAGAACACCGAUUGCGAAGGCAGCACACUAAGUCAUUAUUGACGCUGAGGCACGAAAGUGUGGGGAUCAAACAGGAUUAGAUACCCUGGUAGUCCACACUGUAAACGAUGAUAACUCGCUGUCGGCGAUACACAGUCGGUGGCCAAGCGAAAGCAUUAAGUUAUCCACCUGGGGAGUACGACCGCAAGGUUGAAACUCAAAGGAAUUGACGGGGGCCCGCACAAGCGGAGGAACAUGUGGUUUAAUUCGAUGAUACGCGAGGAACCUUACCCGGGCUCGAACGGUGCAUGAAUAUACGAGAGAUUGUAUAGUCCUUCGGGACAUGUAUCGAGGUGCUGCAUGGUUGUCGUCAGCUCGUGCCGUGAGGUGUCGGCUUAAGUGCCAUAACGAGCGCAACCCUUGCCGUUAGUUGCCAUCGGGUCAUGCCGGGCACUCUAUUGGGACUGCCAUCGUAAGAUGUGAGGAAGGUGGGGAUGACGUCAAAUCAGCACGGCCCUUAUGUCCGGGGCGACACACGUGUUACAAUGGGGGGUACAGCGGGUUGCUACCUGGUGACAGGGUGCUAAUCUUUAAAACCGUUCUCAGUUCGGAUCGGAGUCUGUAACUCGACUCUGUGAAGCUGGAUUCGCUAGUAAUCGCGCAUCAGCCAUGGCGCGGUGAAUACGUUCCCGGGCCUUGCACACACCGCCCGUCAAG
rnacentral:rRNA from 1 species